CUGAGUACGGCGGAACACGUGAAAUUCCGUCGGAAUCCGGGAGGACCAUCUCCCAAGGCUAAAUACUCCCUAGUGACCGAUAGUGAACCAGUACCGUGAGGGAAAGGUGAAAAGCACCCCGGAAGGGGAGUGAAACAGUUCCUGAAACCGUGUGCCUACAAGUAGUUAGAGCCCGUUAAUGGGUGAUAGCGUGCCUUUUGUAGAAUGAACCGGCGAGUUACGAUUUGUUGCAAGGUUAAGCGGAAAAAGCGGAGCCGUAGCGAAAGCGAGUCUGAAUAGGGCGCAUAAGUAACAGGUCGUAGACCCGAAACCAGGUGAUCUACCCAUGUCCAGGAUGAAGGUAAGGUAAUACUUACUGGAGGUCCGAACCCACGCACGUUGAAAAGUGCGG
rnacentral:rRNA from 1 species